rnacentral:rRNA from 1 species
GACGAACGCUGGCGGCGUGCUUAACACAUGCAAGUCGAACGGAAAGGCCCUGCUUUUGUGGGGUGCUCGAGUGGCGAACGGGUGAGUAACACGUGAGUAACCUGCCCUUGACUUUGGGAUAACUUCAGGAAACUGGGGCUAAUACCGGAUAGGAGCUCCUGCUGCAUGGUGGGGGUUGGAAAGUUUCGGCGGUUGGGGAUGGACUCGCGGCUUAUGAGCUUGUUGGUGGGGUAGUGGCUUACCAAGGCUUUGACGGGUAGCCGGCCUGAGAGGGUGACCGGCCACAUUGGGACUGAGAUACGGCCCAGACUCCUACGGGAGGCAGCAGUGGGGAAUAUUGCACAAUGGGCGGAAGCCUGAUGCAGAAGCGCCGCGUGCGGGAUGACGGCCUUCGGGUUGUAAACCGCUUUCGCCUGUGACGAAGCGUGAGUGACGGUAAUGGGUAAAGAAGCACCGGCUAACUACGUG